rnacentral:rRNA from 1 species
CGUGGAUAACCUGCCUCAUACAGGGGAUAACAGUUAGAAAUGACUGCUAAUACCGCAUAAGCGCACAGAGAUGCAUGUCUCGGUGUGAAAAGCUGAGGCGGUAUGAGAUGGAUCCGCGUCUGAUUAGCUGGUUGGCGGGGUAGAGGCCCACCAAGGCGACGAUCAGUAGCCGACCUGAGAGGGUGGCCGGCCACAUUGGGACUGAGACACGGCCCAAACUCCUACGGAAGGCAGCAG